UGGGCACAGCAGAGCUCGUGCUCGCUGGAGGGGGGCGGGGCGGCGAGCGGGCGGACUAGAGAGGGCUGUCUUCAGGGGGCGGCCAGCGGCGGGAGCGGAGCGGGCAUCGCCGUGCGCGCCGGUGGCUCCCGCUGCUGCUGCCGCCGCCGCCGCCGCCGCGCUCCGAGCAGGCACGGCGCGUGCAGGCAG